AACUGCUGCCUUCCUUCUCCAGAUUCAGGGGAGGUAGUCUCCCCGCCUUCUUAGUAUUCUCAUCUCCAGAUCUCAGUGUGGGCUGUUGCCUCUGUAUGGAAUGCCCUACCUUCUUCAUCACUACAUUUCACCUGUCCUUCCAGACCAGAGAAGAUGCCUCCUCCACCCAGUCUGUCCUACCCACUAGCUGGAAGCAAUACCUUCUUUCCCUAAAUGCCCACAGCACUUGGUUCAUGCCUUGCUUAUGCAUGUAUCCCACUCUCCUUUGCAUCAUGCAUGUUGGGCAUGGGUCUGCUCUCCCCACCAUUCUUAGGGAGACCUCCACCUAAGUCCUCGCUUCCUACACAGUGCUUUACACAGUGCCUGAUACUUAGUAAGUGCUCGGUGAAGUGAAUCAGACAACGUAAGAGUGUCUCUGGGCCUCCUGGGUGUUCACGGGCCAGUUCUGAAGGUGCAUGGAGGUAUAUUUCCAUUUUAUAGAUGAAGGAAUUGAGGGUCAGGGAGGCCAACUGGUUUUGCUCAAAGCCAAAUAGCCAGUAAGAAGUGGAGACAUCAGCGUGGGUAACAUGGCAAAACCUUGUCUCCACUAAAAAUACAAAAAUUAGAGGCUGGGCGCAGUGGCUCACGCCUGUAAUACCAGCACGCCUAUAAUACCAGCACUUUGGGAGGCCGAGGUGAGCAGGUCACGAGGUCAGGAGUUUGAGACCAGCUUGGCCAAUAUGGUGAAACCUCAUCUGUACUAAAAAAAUACAAAAAUUAGCCAGGCGUGGUGGCAUGCACCUGUAGUCCUAGCUACUUGGGGAGCUGUGGCAGGAGAAUCUCUUGAACUUGGGAGGCGGAGGUUGCAGUGAGCUGAGAUAGCACCACUGCACUCCAGCCAGGGUGACAGAGCGAAACUCUGUGUCAAAAAACAAACAAACAUACAAACAAACAAAACCCAAAAAUUAGCCGGGCAUGGUGAUGCGCACCUGUAGUCUUAGCUACUCGGGACUCCAGCCUGGGCGACGGAGCGAGAUUCUGUCUCAAAAACAAACAAACAAAAAAAGAAAACCCAAAAAUUAGCGGGGCAUGGUGGUGCGCACCUGUAGUCUUAGCUACUCGGAGACUGAGAUGAGAGGACAGCCUGAGCCUAGGCGGUCGAGGCUGCAGUGAGCUGUGAUCAGGCCACCGCACUCCGUCUUAAAGUAAAAAUAGAGACAGACUUCAAAGUCAGGUCUAUGGGGGCAGUUUAUUAAUUGGGGAGACUUCUGCAGAUAACAGGUUCAAACUACGAAAUAAUAAUAAGUGGUAGAAACAACCAAACCAGCACCCCUUAAGAGAAGGAUGUUCUGAGCACACUUCCGAUCUAUUGAUUGGACGAGCCAUAAGCAUGCUGACUCUGUGGGACCACGGGGAGGUCAUUCUGCCCAAGGGCUCAGUAUUCUGGAAAUGUUGUCUUGACUGGAUUUCCUUGAGGUCUUGGGGCCCCUGGAACAUUUCCUCUGUAGAGAAAUUGCUCUCCACUGCUCUGCUUACU
rnacentral:lncRNA from 1 species